GACUGAACACUUGUUAUUGAAAAAACAAGCAUGUGAUGAUAUUUUACAAUUUCUCACCAGAGUAAAUUAUUGUAAAUCAACUCUGUAUGGUUCAGUAUUGCAUGAAGCUCAAAAAUGUAUUCGACAUCUUUCACAAACAGAAAGUGAUAUAAAAUUGGCGAAUGAUUAUUUAAAUGAAGCAAAAGACAUUUUAAAAAAUGAUGUUACUGUUGUAUUAGAUGAUUAUUAAAGAUCUUCCGCAUUCUGCUUUAAUAUACAAGUGGGAUUUAGUAUUACGCAUUUGAUUCAAUGGCUGCAUCAAGUGGUCCUACACCUUCUCCAUAGUCUAAUUCAUCAUCAUAUGCAUCAUAAGUGUCGUCUAGCUCAGCUGCUCCUUCUUUUGGUUCAGGACAUUCAAGAC